GGUUGCCUUUUUGAUGCUACUCUUGGUUUGCAUUUGGUCCAUGGGCAUUAAACUCACACUGCACUUGUUUCCUGACUCCCUGCGUCUAUGUUACAGAAUACUACCUCACAAAAUAUGGAAGCAGCAGUAGAGAAAGCUGUGUACCAGACGGUUGGUGAACAGGGACACCUACUCUGCCAACACCAUGAUCAGCUGGCGCAACUGAGUGCGACUAUGGAUGAGGUCUUCCACCACCCGAGAGGAUUCACUUGCAAAUAGCGGAGGGCCUUCUACCAGGAGUCGUCCCAGCGAACCAGUCCCCCAGCCUACCCAGCAGUCCGCCCAGGUCAGUGAUGCCCAACUAUCUCACAGACAUAUGACGGGACUCCAUCCAAAUGUCGUGGCUUCCUACUCCAGUGCUCGCUCUGUCGCUCAUCAGACUUGAGGCCCCACCACCGAGAGGUCCUUGGUUUCCCCGGUCAUUUCCCUGCUGACUGGGAGGGGCUCCAGUGGUGUCUGGUGCGUCCCAAGCCGAAGUCCACUAGGGCAGAGGGACAGCCAGGCCUAAUCGCCUAUCUCUACCCGACUUCAUUAAUGCUCUUGUGGCUGAAUGGAAGCAAGUCCCCGCAGCAAUGUUCCAACAUCUAGGGGAAAGCCUUCCCAGAAGAGUGGAGGAUGUUAUAGCAGCAAAGAGGUACCAACUGCCAAGUCAUAUGUUUGACGAGCAGGCGUGAAAUCACACCUCUUAAUUAGAAAGAGGAGCCGACUGAAGAUUGCAACAAAAUAUUUAUUGUUACUCCCAUCUAUCACAUGCAUUUAUGUUCGCUUUUCCAAGAGUUUUACAACUGGCAGUUAUGGUGUUCAUAGCAGUCAAACACAUGGAAUAAACCGACACAACACUUAAACUACAAUAACAUUCUGAGUAACGAUUACAGAUUUUUUUUCUUGCUAUGACCGUGAUAUGUUGUUUAUCUACCUUAGUUGAAUGCACAGACUGUAAGUCACUCUGGAGAAGAGCUUCUGCUGAAUGACCUAAAUGUAAAAACAAAACACUUUCAAAGCAUGCUGGGUAUUACUCUAAUAAGCUCUGCCCCCAAACAAGUCCAAAUUUGGCCGGUGCGGACCAGAUCCAAAUCUGAACGAGUCAUAGACGUUUAGGCUAUGUUUCACAAGUUUGAACAUCACAGUACAACACAAGAGUACAGUACGGUACAGGACAGUAGUGAUUUAUUCAGUAUUUUUUUUAAAUUAUAUUUAUUUCACCUUUAUUUAACCAGGUAGGCAAGUUGAGAACAAGUUCUCAUUUACAAUUACGACCUGGCCAAGAUAAAGCAAAGCAGUUCGACACAUACAACAACAGAGUUACACAUGGAGUAAAACACACAUACAGUCAAUAAUACAGUAGAAAAAUAAGUCUAUAUACAAUGUGAGCAAAUGAGGUGAGAUAAGGGAGGUAAAGGCAAAAAAGGCCAUGGUGGCAAAGUAAAUACAAUAUAGCAAGUAAAACAGUGGAAUGGUAGAUUUGUAGUGGAAGAAAGUGCAAAGUAGAAAUAGAAAUAAUGGGGUGCAAAGGAGCUAAAUAAAUACAGUAGGGGAAGAGGUAGUUGUUUUGGCUAAACGAUAGAUGGGCUAUGUACAGGUGCAGUGAUCUGUGAGCUGCUCUGACAGCUGGUGCUUAAAGCUAAGUACAGUAGAGUACAGUAGUUUAAUUCAGUACAGUAGGGUACAAUACAGAACACUUUACUUUACUGUACUCUAGUGUGCUCUACUGUAUUUUACUGUACUAUACACUUCUGUACUGUGUGCUGUACUCUGCUGUGCUCAAGGCUGGUCCGGACCAAAUCUGAACCAAUUAGAGACGUCUAUUUUUGGGCUAAAUCCAGGUCGGUCCGGACUGCACCAAUAAAAUACCAAAAGAAGUCACCUGAAGUCAAAUGCUAGGUGGGAUGUUUGUGAUUAUUCACUAAUGUCAGACAAAAACAAAACACAGUACAGUCAUAACAUAAAUGUAUUCAAAAGACAUCUAGGUCAUUACACGAAAUGAGUGCCUUUUGCAUCCCUUUCAUAUUUCAAAUUGAAAUUGUGCCCCAAUAUUGUAUUUUAAAAGCCUGCUAUAUUAAAGUGCCAUUUAAUAUAGACCACAUGGAGAAUUCAGUCAAUCUGAUUUUUAAUAGGAAUCUUGAUAUGUCCCUCCGGCACCCUCUGUGACUUCUAUGAAGAUUUUAACCCACUUAAGCCCUAUAUUUCUUCAAGUUUUCACCAUCACUGUAAAACCUUAGUUCUUUUUUUGCUUUGAAAAAGUCAUUUCGGAAGAUUCGUAUUUAUUUUAUGUGAUUAGUGAUAUAUUUACGUCUGUCCCUCACUUUAAGGUCAACCCUGUAACGUGAACUGAACUCUUGUCUUAAUAUGGUGAAAAUAUUCCAUUAAAAAAAAUCUAAAACAUUUAACAUCUAAUUAAUUAAAACAUGGUGUAAAAGCAGGUGAGCUGGCUGUAUUCUUUUAUGCCAUUUCCUUGGUUUUUUGGGGUGUAAAACUGAGCCGGUCGACCAUAACACGUCAACCCUGUUACACAUAGAUAAAAAUGUUUAAACAAUUUAAACAUUUUUGUGAAGCUUGCAUUCAAUUGCCACUCACUGUUGCACACAACAAGGUUAUUUAUAGCUGAUUUAAGGUUAAAUUGUCAACCCUGUUAUGGUCAACUCUGUUACUUUAUUUGGCACUUAAUAGACACUUAGUAAUUUUUUGGGGGUUAAAAUGAGGUUAAAUCAAAAAAAAUGUAUGACCAAGUUAGACUUCUCGAAAGGUACCAAACUGAUGGAAUGACCCGUCUAUGUAACACAAGUUUGGACAGUACAGUACAGAGUUUAAUUCAACAGAGUACAGUUUUAUUCAGUUGUGUACAGCACAUUAGAGUACAAUAGACUACAGUUGAGUUUAAUUCAGUAGAGUAUAGUAGGAUACAAUACAGUACAUUAUACUGUACUCUACCCUACUGUGCUGUACUCUACUCUACUAUACUGAACUAUACUCUAAUUUACUAUACUGUAUCCUACUUUGCUCUACUGUACUGAACUAUACUAUACUUUUCUUUUCUGUACUGUAUGCUGUGUUUUACAAACUUGUGAAACUUGGACUUCUAUUCGUUCAGAUUUGGUCCGGUCCGACCUGCUUGUCAAAACGGACACACACGCAUACACACACACAGAUGCACGCACACAGACAGACAUACGCACACACAAACAUACCUGUUCCUAUUUGAAAGAGCGCUCUUUGUUUUCAACAAAAAAGUGUUGACUUUACUUUUUUUACUUUAUCAAAAUAUUUUAUUUUCAUCCAAAUAUCAGAUGGUUACUGUUUGUUUUAUUAAGCAUUAACAUGAUGAUUUGAGUGGAG
rnacentral:lncRNA from 1 species